CAAACAGCAGCGAUGGCUCAAGCAAAGGACACGCACAAAUGUAAGUAUUUUCAGCACUUUAAUUACGGCAGACUGGUGUAAUAAUACUAUUUUCGAGCGUUUUUUAAUUGUGAAGUUAGUUUUGAAUCACUAGUCAAGUUUGUUUUGAUUCACUAGUCAAGUUUGUUUUGAAUCACUAGAAGCCGAUGCUAAUGUGUUCCGCUAUCGCUAUUUGUUGAGAUAGAUAUCCGAUAACCCUUGACAUGACAUGUUAAGGUUUCAAGUAAAAUUUGUGUGCAGUGGAUUUGCUUACUACUACAAUUCCUUGGUUGAUUAUACCGGCGCACUGAUUUGAUAUCGGUAAAGCUUCCACCUAGGCUACGUCGCUCGCCUGUCAAACUGAAGAUUUCCUUUCCACUUUUACCUCAGGGACACCACAGGAGACCAGACGGCUCAUUAAUUUCAGGGCGACCAGGGACAAUGAGUUUCUCAAAUCGAAAAUGAUCGCCAGAAAACAGUGGGAGCUUUUUCUGGAAGAAACGGGGAUGGAGGGGAAAGUGACAAGGCAACAGGCUUCUAAGAAGUGGGAGAACCUUAAAAAGAAGUACAAGGAUUUGAGGACUCCCAAAACUGGUUCGGGGACUGAAAGUGGGGAGGUGACUGUGGCGACGUGGCAGUAUUAUGAUUUGAUGCACAAGGUUCUUGGUGCCCGGCCAGCAAUUGACCCACCAGUCCUUGUGUCAUCGAUUCAAGACCCCAUGGUUAUCCUCAUGGAGAUGGUUGAGCCCUACACCCAAGCACCCACGACAGCAGCCAGCACCCCAGUACACCCUACCACAUCAAUCAUACGAAGGAGGUCCAAAACAGUGGCAGAACUCCUGGCUGAGGAGGCCCUUCAGGAGCAGAGGCGCCAUGAAGAGAGUGAGGCCAAGACGGAUCGCUUUCUGGAUCUCUUUGAGAGGAUGGUCAACAAGUUAUAAUUAUUGAUUUUUGUUGUUCCUAUGUUUUUUAUUCUUGCUAUUUAUUAAUUUAUGCUAUUUAUUAUUCCUAUUUAUUAUUGUUAUAUAUAUUUCUAUUUAUUAAUUUAUGCUAUUUAUUAUUCCUAUUUAUUAUUGUUAUAUAUAUUU
ensembl:lncRNA